rnacentral:tRNA from 1 species
GGGCCGCUAGCUCAAUGGCAGAGCAAUCGGCUCAUAACCGACGGGUUCUGGGUUCGAGUCCCGGGCGGCCCACCA